rnacentral:rRNA from 1 species
CAGCUAAAGUAUUUGUCUUCGGACAUGUAAUUUUAAGUGAAGAGUUUGAUCCUGGCUCAGAGUGAACGCUGGCGGCAGGCCUAACACAUGCAAGUCGAACGGCAGCACAGUAAGAGCUUGCUCUUAUGGGUGGCGAGUGGCGGACGGGUGAGGAAUACAUCGGAAUCUACUCUUUCGUGGGGGAUAACGUAGGGAAACUUACGCUAAUACCGCAUACGACCUACGGGUGAAAGCGGAGGACCUUCGGGCUUCGCGCGAUUGAAUGAGCCGAUGUCGGAUUAGCUAGUUGGCGGGGUAAAGGCCCACCAAGGCGACGAUCCGUAGCUGGUCUGAGAGGAUGAUCAGCCACACUGGAACUGAGACACGGUCCAGACUCCUACGGGAGGCAGCAGUGG